rnacentral:lncRNA from 1 species
GGACCAGCUUUUAUUCGAAGCAAGUCAUUACAACAGAACCGAACUCGUUGGAGAUUCUAAGUUUCACUCCUCGAAUGGCUCGUAGAAGAUUCCACGAAGCAAAAGCAGGUGAGCUUACAAACUUGAUUCCUUUAUUCCAAGAUUCAUUGCAAAUUUCGGUCUGAUUUGAGCCUCUUCCUUUGAGACACCCCAUGCGCCCCGAUGUUCGAUGAAAUGCCUGAAUCGGUCUUUCUGCCUUUAACAAUGGAUGAUUUCAAGCUUCUGAUGUGAUUAUACCAUUGUCCAGGUCUUCAGUAUAUCGAAUCCAUUGAUGCUGAUAAGUUGUUGAGCAAAAUAGGAAUUGCAGUUGUUGGGUUUGCAGAAGACUUGGAAUAUGUGGAGUUUGAUGCACGUUGAAGGUGAGAGAAGAGAUGUCGCUAAAGGGAGAAGUUGCGUUGCUGGAGGGUUGGACAAAAAGUUGGUGAUUGCGGAGUCCUGGUGAGGAAGAUGUCGCAAAGAAUAUGAAUCAGUUGGUAAUAAUAUUAGCUAGAGACUUAUGAGGAGUUGAAGUGUUAUUACUAGGACAAGAGUGCACAAUAAUCAUACAGGCAUAACAUUGACAACGGUUGCGACCCUAACUUCUAGGAGCAAAUCAGAAAGGAUGUAGGCUGUCUGCUGAAAAGAGUCCUAAGAAGCUA